GUCGCAUUGGCGCAAUGGUAGCGCGCAAGACUUCUACAACGAGAUCUUGAGGCUGUGGGUUCGAGCCCCACAUGCGAUG
rnacentral:tRNA from 2 species